GGGAUAGCCCAGGGAAACCUGGAUUAAUACCGGAUGAGACGGGACCCGCGAUGGCGGACCCGGGAAGGCGCUGCGGCGCCGCCGGGGGAUGAGUCUGCGUCCCAUUAGCUAGACGCGGGGUAACGGCCCACCGUGGCGACGAUGGGUAGCCGGCCUGAGAGGGUGGACGGCCACAUUGGAACUGAGACACGGUCCAGACUCCUACGGGAGGCAGCAGCUAAGAAUCUUCCGCAAUGGGCGAAAGCCUGACGGAGCGAACCGCCGCGUGAACGAAGAAGGCCGUGAGGUUGUAAAGUUCUUUUCGGGAGGGGGAACAACCGUGGCAGGGAAUGGCCGCGGGAUGACGUGAAUACCCGGAAUAACGCCCCGGCUAACUACGUGCCAGCAGCUGC
rnacentral:rRNA from 1 species